CCACUGUGGUCGGCGUCCUCUGUCCCCGGGUCAGCACACGGGGCGUCCUCACUGUGGUCAGCGUCCCCAUCCCCCGGGGUCAGCACACCGGGUGUCCUCACUGUGGUCGGCAUCCUCCAUCCCUGGGUCAGCAUACAGGAUGUCCCCAGUGUGGUCGGGGACCUCCGUCCCCCAGGUCGGCACACGGGUGUCCCCCUGUGGUCGGCGUCCUCUGUCCCGGUCGCAUCAGUGUCCCCGGGUGGUCGGCGCCCUCCGUCCCCGGGUCAGCAUACAGGAAGUGUCCCCGGGUGGUGGGUCGGCGGGUUCCCCUUCCGUCCUCCCCCCCGGGUCAGCACACGGAAGUGUCCCCACUGUGGUCGGCGUCCUCUGUCCCCAGGUCGGCACUCAGGGUGUCCCCGGCGUGGUCGGCGUCCUCCGUCCCCCGGGUCAGCACACGGAAGUGUCCCCACUGUGGUCGGCGUCCUCUCUCCCCAGGUCGGCACUCAGGGUGUCCCCGGCGUGGUCGGCGUCCUCCGUCCCCCGGGUCAGCACACGGAAGUGUCCUCACUGUGGUCGGCGUCCUCUGUCCCCAGCUCAGCACUCAGGGUGUCCCCAGUAUGGUCGGCGUCCUCCGUCCCCCGCGUCAACACACGGAGGUGUCCUCACUGUGGUCCGCGUCCUCCGUCCCCAGGUCUGUGUGGUAGCCAGAGCUUCAGGUUCAGCAGAAUCCUUGCCGCACUGCUGGAAGCCAGGAUCCAAAAGGGUACCACACAAAUCACCUUGUAAAUCACCUAGAAAAUUGGUAAGUGUGGGAGCACUGUAGCUUUAUUUCUCAUUUACUCAUACUGUAAAGAUACGAGUAGAGAAUUGUGAAAAGAGAAAAUGGCCUUGAAAGGCAGUUCACUUGUGAAGGUUUUCUAUUUCAUAACUUGUUUCUACUUGAAACAGAAGAUCUUCAAGUUCAUGAGGUUCUAUGAAGUCUUUCGUAGAAUAGAGGCUCCUGCCUUCAGUUGUUCUCCUUUAACCUGCCAUCACUCGCAGUGGGAUAGAGUAUGGACUAACCCCUUUGUUUUUGAUGUUUAGUGGGUGUUUUCAUAAUGUUUAGUAUUUAUUCACCACCUGUGUUGACAUUUCUGGGGUCAAGAGAUUUAUUUUCUUACCUUUUGUUGAAUAGGAAUUUGGUAAAAUAAAGUAUGGAAUGAAAUUAAGAUGUUGAUAGUGUUUAUUUUUAG
rnacentral:lncRNA from 1 species